GGGGACAUCACAGCUGUAUCAUGUGUAAUAGAGGUCUGGUGUUACUGGGGACAUCAAGGCUGUGUCAUGUGUAAUAGAGGUCUGGUGUUACUGGGGACAUCACGGCUGUAUCGUGUAAUAGAGGUCUGGUGUUACUGGGUACAUCAAGGCUGUGUGAUGUGUAAUAGAGGUCUGGUGUUACUUGGGACAUCACGGCUGUAUCAUGUGUAAUAGAGGUCUGGUGUUACUGGGGACAUCACGGCUGUAUCAUGUGUAAUAGAGGUCCGGUGUUACUGGGGACAUCACAGCUGUAUCAUGUGUUACUGGGGACAUCAUGGCUGUAUCAUGUGUAAUAGAAGUCCGGUGUUCGAGAAUUAUAUCAUAUGAAAUGGCACUUUAGAUGACACAUUAUAUUUUAACAUUAUGAAUAUAAAGCUAUAGUUUUUAUCUAGUGUACACAAAGUUAACAUAUUGAUAUUUUGUGAUGUUUGUAGAGAUGGUUGUGUUCUCGAUGUUAGAUUUUUUGUGUUUGUGCAAUAGAAUUACGUGAUUAGCUUCUGUCAGUGUAAAAGACCUACCAUUGAGUGGUAGUUUGUGGUCAAUAUUGAAGAUAUAAUGUAUCGCAGCAGUAUGAUCAAAAUAGAUGAAACUGACAUCACAGACUGGAUUACCGGUAUUGAAAAUCAGAAUGUUUAAUAAUUGGAGAUGAAUCUCAUCACGUUAGCGAGCAUGAUAGGCAGAUGUUGACCUAUAGGGAUCACCAUGUCCAUCUGCCUGUCCAUCACCCUGUCCAUCUGCCUGUCCUUUUUAUCACCAAUACUGUUAUUUACAGACUUAUUUUCAUACAUUAUAUGUGUACUACUGUGUGUGUAUUUACGUUGUCAAUGUAUGUUAUCCUAUACACAGUAUAUCUGGAAAUAAAGCCUAGAUCAAUCAACUAUCAAUGACUUUACAAAGCAAACUCAUAAUAAUUAACAAAUAAAUGUUCAACAAUCAACUCAUUUUUUUUAUUAAUGUUAGGUGAGCGGUACAUGCCCAUUAGGCCUCUUUUUGAUGAUCAUGAAUGUCUAUCAGCCAAAAACUGCCAAGAUCUGUGAUGUUUGAUAUUAUUAUGUUGAAUCAUGGCCUUUCCGAUCAAAACAUUCCCCUGUCUACACUCCAAAGAAUACCUAGUGUAUCAACGCUACCUAAAUAUUGAUGUCAUUUUCAAUAUUGUGUAAAGUGUAUUUAUUUUUCCUGCAUUUUAGUAUUUUGGUACAUUCUACAAACCAUUCAUUUAUAUGCAUAGUGGUUUGUUGUUUUAUGAUGAACAAAUACUUUAAACCAGGUGAAUGGGGCUAUAUAUAUCCCUGUGGUACAUGUUGUUGUACUUGUGAAUAUUAUGUUGAUAAAGUUGGUAGAUCGAACACGCCAAUUAGGUGAUGGUUACACAUGACGUCAUAGACAUGUGGGUACGUUAUAGGUUAAGAAUGACGUCAUAGAUAUGUCGAUACAUUAUAGGUUAAGAAUGUCAUUAUAGAUAUGUCGGUACAUUAUAGAUAUGUCGAAACAUUAUAGGUGAAGAAUGACGUCAUAGAUGUGUCGAUACAUUAUAGGUGAAGAAUGACAUCAUAGAUAUGUCGAUACAUUAUAGGUUAAGAAUGACGUCGCAGAUAUGUCGGUACAUUAUAGGUUAAGAAGGACAUCAUAGAUAUGUCGGUACAUUAUAGAUAUGUCAAUACAUUAUAGGUGAAGAAUGACGUCAUAGAUAUGUCGAUACAUUAUAGGUACAGAAUGACAUAAUAGAUAUGUCGGUACAUUAUAGAUAUGUCGAUAUAUUAUAGGUUAAGAAUGACGUCGUAAAUAUGUAGGUACAUUAUAGGUUAAGAAUGACGUCGAAGAUAUGUUGGUACAUUAUAGGUUAAGAAGGACAUCAUAGAUAUGUCGGUACAUUAUAGAUAUGUCGAUACAUUAUAGGUUAAGAAUGACGUCAUAGAUAUGUCGGUACAUUAUAGAUAUGUCGGUACAUUAUAGAUAUGUCGAUACAUUAUAGGUUAAGAAUGACGUCGUAGAUAUGUCGGUACAUUAUAGGUUAAGAAUGACGUCGAAGAUAUGUCGAUACAUUAUAGAUAUGUCGAUACAUUAUAGAUAUGUCGGUACAUUAUAGAUAUGUCAAUACAUUAUAAAUAUGUCGGUACAUUAUAGAUAUGUUGAUACAUUAUAGGUUAAGAAUGACGUCGAAGAUAUGUCGAUACAUUAUAGAUAUGUCGGUACAUUAUAGAUAUGUCGAUACAUUAUAGGUUAAGAGUGACGUCAUAGAUGUGUCGGUACAUUAUAGAUAUGUCGGUACAUUAUAGGUUAAGAGUGACGUCAUAGAUGUGUUGGUACAUUAUAUGUUUAGAAUGACGUCAUAGAUAUGUCGGUACAUUCUAGGUUAAGAAUGACGUCAUAGAUGUGUCGGUACAUUAUAGGUUAAGAAUGACGUCAUAGAUAUGUCAGUAUAUUAUAGAAAUGUUGGUACAUUACAGGUUAAGAAUGACAUAUGUCGAUACAUUAUAGGUUAAGAAUGACGUCAUAGAUGUGUCAGUACAUUAUAGAUUAAGAAUGACGUCAUAUAUAUGUCAGUGCAUUAUAGGUUAAGUAUGACGUCAUAGAUAUGUCAGUGCAUUAUAGGUUAAGAAUGACGUCAUAGAUAUGUCAGUACAUUAUAGAUAUGUCGGUACAUUAUAGAUAUGUCAGUACAUUAUAGAUAUGUCAAUACAUUAUAGAUAUGUCGGUACAUUAUAGAUAUGUCGGUACAUUAUAGGUUAAGAAUGACGUCAUAGAUGUGUCAGUACAUUAUAGAUUAAGAAUGACGUCAUAUAUAUGUCAGUGCAUUAUAGGUUAAGUAUGACGUCAUAGAUAUGUCAGUGCAUUAUAGGUUAAGAAUGACGUCAUAGAUAUGUCAGUACAUUAUAGAUAUGUCGGUACAUUAUAGAUAUGUCAGUACAUUAUAGAUAUGUCAAUACAUUAUAGAUAUGUCGGUACAUUAUAGAUAUGUCGGUACAUUAUAGGUUAAGAAUGACAUAUGUUGGUACAUUACAGGUUAAGAAUGACAGAUAUGUCGGUACAUUAUAGGUUAAGAAUGACGUCAUAGAUAUGUUGGUACAUUAUAGGUUAAGAAUGACGUCAUAGAUAUGUCGGUACAUUAUAGAUAUGUCAGUACAUUAUAGGUUAAGAAUGACGUCAUAGAUAUGUCGGUAUGUUAGAGGUUAAGAAUACAUUAUAGAUAUGUCAGUACAUUAUAGGUUAAGAAUGACAUCAUAGAUAUGUCGGUACAUCAUGGAUAUGUCAAUACAUUAUAGAUAUGUCAAUACAUUAUAGAUAUGUCGGUACAUUAUAGGUUAAGAAUGACAUAUGUUGGUACAUUACAGGUUAAGAAUGACAGAUAUGUCGGUACAUUAUAGAUUAAGAAUGACGUCAGAGAUAUGUCGGUACAUUAUAGAUUAAGAAUGACGUCAGAGAUAUGUCGGUACAUUAUAGGUUAAAAUGUCGUCAUAUAUUUGGGUACAUUAUAGGUUAAGAAUGACAUCAUAGAUAUGCCGGUAUGUUAGAGGUUAAGAAUGACGUCAUAUAUAUGUCGGUAUGUUAGAGGUUAAGAAUGAGGUUGAAGAUAUGUCGGUACAUUAUAGGUUAAGAAUGACGUCAUAGAUAUUUCAGAUUUAUGUUAAGCACAAAGUCGUAUAUGUGUCUGUUCAUUGUAGUAAUAAUGAUAUUGUAAUUUAGCUGUAUCAUCUUAAAUGUUGUCACUGCUAUUUUAUUUAAAGAGACAAUUCAGUCAUGUUUGAAAUUAAGAUAAUGCUGAAACUAUACUACUCCUUAUAAAAGUCAAAUUUGAGAGUAAACAUUCUAUAUUCUGAGUGUUCAGAGUUCUGUCUCAACAAAAGCUUGGUGAUGAGUAUUAUAUAUGAUGAUGUCUCUCGACUCGGUGAUGUCUCACGAAUCGGUGAUGAGUAUUAUAUAUGAUUAUAUCUCUCGACUCUUAGCAUUCCAUUCAAACUACCAUGUUCUUUGUAUAAUUUAUCACUUUAAAAACACAUAACCACAUACUCAUGUUGGUCAAAAUGUGAGAAAAAAAUCGUAUAAACCAUAUAAUCAUAUGAUAAAGGAUUUCUUAGUUUUCAAUUAAAAUUCCAAGAAAACUAUUGUGAUAUUGGCUUGGAUUGUACAGUCACUAUAUAUAUAUAUUCAAUGGAGUUUGUGACAUACAAAUAAUGAAGGCAAACAACACUUUAUUGUCUCUUUAAAGUUGAUGUCUGGAUUGUACCAUGAUAGUUUGUAUUUAAAAGCUUAAUGCAUAAUUUUUCAUGUACAAUUUGUGUAUCUGAACAUUCAUGAAUAUCAAAAAUUUGAAUUGUUCCGAUAAUUUGUAGAUCUAUGUAUAAUGUUAUUGUACAGAUAAUUUUGUGUAUUUCCUAAAUUGGACAGUUUCUGUGUAUAUCUUGAAUUUUACAGUCAGUGUAUAAGUUAUACUGCCGUUAUAGAUAUAUUAAUGCUGAUGAAUAAGGUGCAAUAGUCUACAUUACUAUGUUAUUACUGAUUUCACUAGUUUUAUUUAUUAAAGUUGGUUGUAUUGAAUUGUGGCAUUUUCUUUGGUUGAGAUUUUUUAAAAGAGCUGUUUUGUAGCACGAGACUAAGGCAGUGGAAAUCUAGGUCAUCAAUAUUAAUACAGUAAAACUUGUUUAUAAAGAACUCCAAGGGACCUUGAAAUUGAAUUCGUUAUCAAGUAGUUCGUUGUAUAAAUAAAACGAACGGGAAUAAAAGUUGAUAAAACUCGU